rnacentral:rRNA from 1 species
CCUACGGGAGGCUGCAGUCGAGAAUCUUUCGCAAUGGGCGCAAGCCUGACGAAGCGACGCCGUGUGAGCGAAGAAGGCCUUCGGGUUGUAAAGCUCUUUCGCUAGGGAACAAGAAAGCUCGGAUAAUACCCGGGCGAUUUGAUGGUACUUGGUAAAGAAGCACCGGCUAACUCCGUGCCAGCAGCUGCGGUAAUACGGAGGGUGCAAGCAUUGAUCGGAAUUACUGGGCGUAAAGGGCGCGUAGGCGGCUAGAAAAGUCAGAUGUGAAAUUCCGGGGCUCAACCCCGGAGCUGCAUUUGAAACUCUCUAGCUAGAGGGAACUUAGGGAAAACGGAAUUCCACGUGUAGCGGUGAAAUGCGUAGAUAUGUGGAAGAACACCAGUGGUGAAGACGGUUUUCUGGAGUUUGCCUGACGCUGAGGCGCGAAAGCUAGGGGAGCAAACAGGAUUAGAUACCCUUGUAGUC